rnacentral:rRNA from 1 species
CGAAUGCUGACAUAAGUAACGAUAAAGCGGGUGAAAAGCCCGCUCGCCGGAAGACCAAGGGUUCCUGUCCAACGUUAAUCGGGGCAGGGUGAGUCGACCCCUAAGGCGAGGCCGAAAGGCGUAGUCGAUGGGAAACAGGUUAAUAUUCCUGUACUUGGUGUUACUGCGAAGGGGGGACGGAGAAGGCUAUGUUGGCCGGGCGACGGUUGUCCCGGUUUAAGCGUGUAGGCUGGUUUUCCAGGCAAAUCCGGAAAAUCAAGGCUGAGGCGUGAUGACGAGGCACUACGGUGCUGAAGCAACAAAUGCCCUGCUUCCAGGAAAAGCCUCUAAGCAUCAGGUAACAUCAAAUCGUACCCCAAACCGACACAGGUGGUCAGGUAGAGAAUACCAAGGCGCUUGAGAGAACUCGGGUGAAGGAACUAGGCAAAAUGGUGCCGUAACUUCGGGAGAAGGCACGCUGAUAUGUAGGUGAAGUCCCUCGCGGAUGGAGCUGAAAUCAGUCGAAGAUACCAGCUGGCUGCAACUGUUUAUUAAAAACACAGCACUGUGCAAACACGAAAGUGGACGUAUACGGUGUGACGCCUGCCCGGUGCCGGAAGGUUAAUUGAUGGGGUCAGCGCAAGCGAAGCUCUUGAUCGAAGCCCCGGUAAACGGCGGCCGUAACUAUAACGGUCCUAAGGUAGCGAAAUUCCUUGUCGGGUAAGUUCCGACCUGCACGAAUGGCGUAAUGAUGGCCAGGCUGUCUCCACCCGAGACUCAGUGAAAUUGAACUCGCUGUGAAGAUGCAGUGUACCCGCGGCAAGACGGAAAGACCCCGUGAACCUUUACUAUAGCUUGACACUGAACAUUGAGCCUUGAUGUGUAGGAUAGGUGGGAGGCUUUGAAGUGUGGACGCCAGUCUGCAUGGAGCCGACCUUGAAAUACCACCCUUUAAUGUUUGAUGUUCUAACGUGGACCCGUAAUCCGGGUUGCGGACAGUGUCUGGUGGGUAGUUUGACUGGGGCGGUCUCCUCCUAAAGAGUAACGGAGGAGCACGAAGGUUGGCUAAUCCUGGUCGGACAUCAGGAGGUUAGUGCAAUGGCAUAAGCCAGCUUGACUGCGAGCGUGACGGCGCGAGCAGGUGCGAAAGCAGGUCAUAGUGAUCCGGUGGUUCUGAAUGGAAGGGCCAUCGCUCAACGGAUAAAAGGUACUCCGGGGAUAACAGGCUGAUACCGCCCAAGAGUUCAUAUCGACGGCGGUGUUUGGCACCUCGAUGUCGGCUCAUCACAUCCUGGGGCUGAAGUAGGUCCCAAGGGUAUGGCUGUUCGCCAUUUAAAGUGGUACGCGAGCUGGGUUUAGAACGUCGUGAGACAGUUCGGUCCCUA